AACGUAGGAGACAAACGUUAUCCGGAGUUACUGGGCGUAAAGGGCGUGUAGGUGGUUUGUUAAGUCUGGCGUGAAAUUUUUCGGCUUAACCGGGAAAGGUCGUCGGAUACUGCAGGACUAGAGGACGGUAGAGGCGUGUGGAAUUCCGGGUGUAGUGGUGAAAUGCGUAGAGAUCCGGAGGAACACCAGUGGCGAAGGCGACACGCUGGGCCGUACCUGACACUGAUGCGCGACAGCAUGGGGAGCAAACGGG
rnacentral:rRNA from 1 species